AUUUAAAUAGUUUAUUAAAAAUAUUGAUUUGUGGAGUCAAGGAUAUGAAUUGAAUUCAUUUUAGAUC
rnacentral:tRNA from 1 species